ACGAACGCUGGCGGCGUGCUUAACACAUGCAAGUCGAACGGAAAGGCCCUGCUUUUGUGGGGUGCUCGAGUGGCGAACGGGUGAGUAACACGUGAGUAACCUGCCCUUGACUUUGGGAUAACUUCAGGAAACUGGGGCUAAUACCGGAUAGGAGCUCCUGCUGCAUGGUGGGGGUUGGAAAGUUUCGGCGGUUGGGGAUGGACUCGCGGCUUAUCAGCUUGUUGGUGGGGUAGUGGCUUACCAAGGCUUUGACGGGUAGCCGGCCUGAGAGGGUGACCGGCCACAUUGGGACUGAGAUACGGCCCAGACUCCUACGGGAGGCAGCAGUGGGGAAUAUUGCACAAUGGGCAGAAGCCUGAUGCAGCAACGCCGCGUGCGGGAUGACGGCCUUCGGGUUGUAAACCGCUUUCGCCUGUGACGAAGCGUGAGUGACGGUAAUGGGUAAAGAAGCACCGGCUAACUACGUG
rnacentral:rRNA from 1 species